GACGAACGCUGGCGGCGUGCUUAACACAUGCAAGUCGAACGAUGAAGCGCUUUCGGGUGUGGAUUAGUGGCGAACGGGUGAGUAACACGUGGGUAAUCUGCCCUGUACUCUGGGAUAAGCCCGGGAAACUGGGUCUAAUACCGGAUAUGACUGCCAAUCGCAUGGUUGGUGGUGGAAAGUUCUGGCGGUAUGGGAUGAACCCGCGGCCUAUCAGCUUGUUGGUGGGGUGAUGGCCUACCAAGGCGACGACGGGUAGCCGGCCUGAGAGGGCGACCGGUCACACUGGGACUGAGACACGGCCCAGACUCCUACGGGAGGCAGCAGUGGGGAAUAUUGCGCAAUGGGCGAAAGCCUGACGCAGCGACGCCGCGUGAGGGAUGACGGCCUUCGGGUUGUAAACCUCUUUCGCAUGGGACGAAGCCUUUGGGUGACGGUACCGUGAGAAGAAGCACCGGCUAACUACGUGCCAGCAGCCGCCGUAACAC
rnacentral:rRNA from 1 species